CAACACUGUUCAUCCGCUUUGCGCAUGAAUGUUCCGUCAAGAAGUUUUCGAAGUUGGAAGUUUCACAACGCCAGUCCGCCAUCUUUCGCAGCGCAGUAAAUAUAUUUCUUCGAAAUGAUUUUUCGCGGGUUUACUGCAUUAUUAAAAAAAUCUGGAAUCCCCGACGAAAAUGAAAUAUUCGGAAUCAUCGAUAUGGGAGUUCUUUUGUGCAAACAUUUGAACGGAAGGUUUCCCAAAUUGGGCCAAAUAGGAAGAAGCAAACAUGUCCAGGCCGUCCUGUUCCUGUAUUUAACCGAUGCCCAGCCUUGCGGCACCCAAUUGCGGUGCUGCAAAGAUGAGAUGAGGCCGGAUUCCACCCCGUUGCAAUCUGGAGAAAAUGGUUUAUCCUCGGGUGGCUUUGUUCUCGUUCGUCCGGAAAAUUUCAUUCCUUCCGUAAUCCCGUUGUGCAUGCAUUCGUCUAGAAAAUUAGAAAACACCCAGCACGAUUUGUUGGACUCGGGACAGUAUCACAAGGAUGGCACCGGUCGUACGAUUGGUGGCACAAUCUUCACAUCUGCGGGAUGGAGGAAUAUCGGCUGGUGACUAUUUUACCAUUCAUCUAGUCCAGCACUAGAUUGCAGUAAGGUACGGGCCUUUUGAUCCACUGCUUCGUUUUCCCUGUGUAUAAAAAGCCCCAUGUUUCGCGUGCGCACGUCAUUUUCAUUCUGGAUGUCACGGAAAACGGACCAGCGCAGUUCCAAGGAUAACGCCUGUGUUUGGUCUGUUGUGGUAAAAACUUAUGGACGAUUCAAAUCAAGCCAAAUUCAGCACCUAAAAACUCAUGGAUGAAUUGAUUCAUCGUAUGUUUUCUGUAUGUAUGUAGAAUCACGAGCGCGCGUCAAACGGUGUAACGAACGCGAAUCAAUCAAUUUGCAUUUCAAACUCAAGUUGUCAUUUUCGUUAAGCUAUACAGCGCACCGCAUGGCAUAUUGUUAGUUGCAAUAUGCGCAUAGUUGAUAAUUCUCUGCUACCCGAGACAAUUAUGUCAUAAACUAAUCUUCUACGAAGGACCAAGAAAGAGACCCAUAAAUUGUAACAAAAAUAGUGACGCACCGAUAGUGGCGGCGAUAACAAAGUAGAGAUAAUAAGAAAGGACCCAAAAGAUAAUGAGUCAAAAUCAGGUAGAAUAUAUUGUACAUUCAUUUAUAUAUACGGCUUAGCAUUAGUA